GACGAACGCUGGCGGCGUGCUUAACACAUGCAAGUCGAGCGGAGCGGCGAACGGGUAAGGAACGCGUGAGUAACUUGCCCCCUCUCUGGGAUCACAGUUGGAAACGGCUGCUAAUACCGGAUCGUGGGGGAUGACUCGCGUCCGAUCAUCUUGUUGGUGGGGUAGUGGCCUACCAAGGCGACGACGGGUAGCCGGCCUGAGAGGGCGACCGGCCACAUUGGGCUGAGAUACGGCCCAAACUCCUACGGGAGGCAGCAGUGGGGAAUAUUGCACAAUGGGGGAAACCCUGAUGCAGCAACGCGCGUGGGGGAUGAAGGCCUUCGGGUUGUAAACCGCUUUCAGCCAUGACGCGGUAGUGGCAGAAGAAGCACCGGCUAACUACGUGCCAGCCGCCGCGGUAAUAC
rnacentral:rRNA from 1 species